rnacentral:lncRNA from 1 species
UCCUGAAACUUUUAUUUGAUUAGUUUUAUAAUAUUCUGGGAUUUAUAGAAAUAUUUCGGUAGUUGUCGGGAGAAAUUUUAUUGCAAGUUGUCUCCGUAAAUUAGUUAAAAGCGGGUAGAAGUUAAUUGCUUACUCAGUUUAAUAGAAUAGUUGGCAGCUUAAAAUUUAUACGCGUGUCUCCACACUUCUCUUCCUUCAGCCACGUAUACACCCCUGUAAACCCUUUUCCUUUUAUUCACUGUGAAACCUCAUCUCUCUCGUUAAAUCACAGUAAUCGGGGCACUGCUUUCUCUCGCAAAUAUCUCCUCCAUCUCUCGCCUCUGUACGUACAGUCUCCAUAUUCCAUCGGGAUUCUCUGCUGCCGCUUCCUUUUCCGGCCAGCUACUACUGGGUUGGCGAGUUUCAGUCCUUGCUCCGUUUCCCCUCUUCAUCGUGUAUCGUGUCUCUGUGGUGUCCUUUGUAGUCUCCUCAAAUCUGCCGCCAAUCUUUCUUUCAGUAGCCGUUGUCUACUUUCUCCGGCGAGUCCAGCGUUAUGCCACGCUUCCCUAUUUGAUUUCUUUGGUAUAACCCUUGUACAUAUUUUGUAAAUCAAUUGUGUAUAUAUAUAAAAUUGGGAUGUGUGUUGAUUUGAUUUUAAAAAUUAGUUGAUUAAGAGUAGAUUGGGUUUCAAGAUUCGAGUUAUAUGCUUGCUUCUAUGUAGGUGAAUAGGUGUCAAUUGAUGUUGAUUAUAACCCGCGAUUAUUAAUUGAGUUCAAUUAUAUGUGCUUAAUUGGUAUUUGAAUUGAUUUUGGUAAAAGAAAAUAGAUAAUCGAAAAGAUUAGGAGGGAGUGGUAGUGAAAUCUUUUGUUGUGAUACCACUGUUUGAUGUUAAUAGUUACCUGUCCUAGGAGUAUGUUUUUUGAAUGAAAUUUUGUGGAAAGAUACUUCCUGGAAUCUAGUGUCUACUCGCGAAAGAAUUAGAUUGAUUUGUUAAACGAGUUAAAAGAUAUGCAUGUUUUAGUGUGAGCUGUGCUGAAAUUUCUGAGCAGGCUUAUGUGUCCAGUUCCACGCCCUGUUUUGCUACCUUAAAAUUGAGCUUUGCCUCUGAAAUUUUUAUUGGAGUUAGAUGUUAGUAUCUGAAAUAUGUCAUUAAAAGUUUAUACAAACAGACCAAUUUUUCUAUUUAUUAAAAUUUUUAGCGUGGGGCUGGUUCUGCAGGACAGAUUCAGGUUCUUGACUUGCAGGUUCGGUUUUACUCCCUUAAACAUGGAAUUUGGUUCUGAAAUUUUUAUAGUAGAUUGGAUUAAUGUCUAGGGAGGUCUCAUAAAAAUCUCAAGUGAAAAACUUGUAUUUUUGAUUUAUUAAAAAUGUUUAAAUAUCGGUAGUACAGAUUGGUGAAAAUUCUGUUUUGAUGUCACAAAGAGAAUUGUUUUGCAAGUCUAAAUCUGUGAGUUGGGUUUGAAAAUUCUAUGACCUCUGCGUAUAAUAUUUAUAAACAUCUCUGAGAAAUAUUUUGUUAAAAAAAUUGAAUUAUUGACUUAUGAUUUAGCAUAUGAUUUCCGAGUUCGCUAAUUAUUUAAAUUCAGUCUAUGAGUAGUGGUUGAUGGUAUUUGAUUGGUUUAUUGAGUUGGUUUGAGUUGAUUACCUGUUGAAUAGUAUAGGAAAACAGGUGGAUAGUCCGAUAAACAGGGGAGAUGCUGCCGAAUUUUUGUUAGAAAUUGAAUGUGAUUUGUUAUUAAUAGAUAUUAAACAAUCAAUAGCAUUACAUCAUAGUUAGAUUGAAAUAUGUUUAUGUGUUAUAUGACCGUGAAUAGUUAUAAAAGGAUAUUGGUCUAGGCAUGUGUUAUGUGUUAUCUGACUUGUAUGUCAUAUAUGACAAAGGGUAGUUAAUUACGUAUUCUAGUUAAUUUCGUCUGAUCCGAUGAUUGAAGCAAUAUUUGCAUAAUGCAUAGAAUCGAGCGAGGUAUGCUUACCAAUGACGUUCUGAAGUAAUGAUAUGACAUCACGAGUCGAAUCAAGAAUAUUCUGAUAAGGCAAGGCUGUGAUGUAGAUUAAGUUCCGUUAGAAGCUAGCAAGAUGGAACGAUUAUGCAGUAUAUAGUGUUAUUAGAAAUCUGAGCUAGACAUCGGAGUCAAGGCAAGUAUCCCUAUCUUCACUUAUUGUUCAAGUGAUAUUUUCUUUAAACCCUAUUAUGCAAGUACUAUAACCCUUCACUUAUUGUUCAAGUGAGAUAUUUUGUUCAAUCAUGAUAUUGAUGGAUUUAUUUCUCUCAAGCUUUCUUGCAAGUAAUUCUAUUCUCUAACUUAUAAUUACUGCAAGUAUUCCUAUUCAAAUUCUAUAUUUAGAAGCAAGUGCUCUUUCCUUGAAACUUUUAUUUAUUGCAAAUGCACGACUUAAAUACGAUUUUGAGUUGGAAAGAGUGACNCAAAAUCUCUACAAAUGAUUUUCAUGUCCCGGUUUAGUUCCUAUGGUUGUAAGGCUUAUCUGUUGUAAGUAUACUUCCGAUGAAAUAAACCUUUUCUUAAAAUGCAAAUUCUUUAGAACUGGGAAGUAAAAGAAAAAUUCAGAUAUAAUCAUUGGACUAUUGUUUUGUUUGCGUAAGAGGUCGAUGCCCAGCUUUGCGUAAGAGGUCUAUGCCCAGCCUAUUGUUUUGUUUGCAUAAGAGGCCCUUGGCCCAGCUUUAUAUGGAGACCUAGCUAGUCUUCAGUUCCGGAUCAUUUUAUUUUAGGGCAAUGCGUAACCAUUGUCCGGGUUACUGUAGACUGAUCAGCUACAGUGACUAUUAACGUCCAAUAUAUCUGAAUGCUUUGGAAAUUUAUGUAUACUUUUGAAUUGUUUUGGUUGCAAGUUAAAAGCAUGUUGUUUUGUAUACUUCCAGUUCAAUUACUUUCUCUGCUUUAAAUCCUGUUUCUUUUUAACUAUUAUACUUACUGAGCAUUCUUUUGCUCAUUCUUGCUAUUUCUUCUAACCCCUUUCAGAUAAUGUUAAAGAUGGUUCGCCUAUUUAGGCUAAGAAUAAGAAUAAGGCUAGGCGAGGAUUGCAAGUGAUUAAGUUUCAACCUGAUGGUCAGGAAGAGUAUCCAAGAUCGAGUCUUUGGGACUAGUGGUAAUUGGAGUUGUCUAAAUUUGGUUUAGUUGUAAAAAUAUAUUUGUUAAAUUGGAUAUUGGUUAUCCCUUAUAUCGAGGUUUAGUUGAUAGUCUAGUUCAAGCUGUAAUCAGAUCAGUAGUUUUGUUUUCUGAUUUCAAUACUAUAACCUGUUUGCGAUCCUAUUUUAAAGGGGGUGAAAUUGAGUUUUAAUUUAAAUCAUUUUUUUUAUAUAUUCAGGUUUUGAAAUACUUGUUUUAAUUUCUUUCGAAAAUACAGGUUUUAAAUUGUUUUUCUUUUAGUGGCACCAAAUCCAG